rnacentral:rRNA from 1 species
UACGGGGGGGGCAAGCGUUGUUCGGAAUUGCUGGGCGUAAAGGGCUCGUAGGUGGCCAACUAAGUCACACGUGAAAUCCCUCGGCUUAACCGGGGAACUGCGUGUGAUACUGGAUGGCUUGAGUUUGGGAGAGGGAUGCGGAAUUCCAGGUGUAGCGGUGAAAUGCGUAGAUAUCUGGAGGAACACCGGUGGCGAAGGCGGCAUCCUGGACCAAUACUGACGCUGAGGAGCGAAAGCCAGGGGAGCAAACGGG